UCUCUUUAUUGAGAAACUUUGCAAAAAACAGAAUAUUUGGCUUGAUUUAUUGCUCCUGCCCAUUUUUUCCCUCUUCUUUUAUUAUUAAUUUUUGUCACCAGGCAACUGCUGUCAUGGCAACACACCACUCUAGUUUGAUAUCAACACUCUGGCUGUGGGAUGAACCCACAUACCCUUUCCCCUUCAAGGUGGGUUUUAUGAAACUUGCCCCCUCCAUCUAUCCUGAUACCAAGAACUGGAUUUGGCAUUGGUUUUAAGUUGCUCAGAUGAAGAUUCAAGGCUCAGAGGGAAGAAACCUUCCAGGCAACAUACAGUUGGUCAGUGUUAGAGCCAGAAUUUAAAGUCCACUCUGUUAUACCAUUCUGAUAUUCAAAUCACUUUGAUAAAGAAACUGAGGAUUUGAAUAACUGAGCAACUCAACCACAUCUUCACGGAUUGCAAAUAGAGAAUCCAAAGAGUUUUGCUCUAGAAUGCAGGGAAUCACUGGCUACUGCUUCCUUGCCAUUUUCAGAGUAAGGCUAUUUUGUUCAUAGGUGCAUGAUCAGAUUUCUUGGGUAUAUUUCAGUGAUGCAGUUUAUGAUGUACAGAAAGGGAAAGUGUUAAAAAUUUGAGCCUGUGUAAAUCUUGGUUAGAAUGAAAGUAAAGCAUAUGGGCAAAGAAUGGACAGUAGAAACAGCCUAAAAAUUAGUUUAAUAAAAUGCCACUGCUAUAUUUUCUUGAUUGAUGAAUGGAUCCUCAUCACAAUGCAAUGCAAAAUAAUGAGCCCCUUUUUAGACCAGGAUGGGUGAACUGAUAAUAGGGAAGAAAACAAAAGACAGUAGAUUUUAUUUAAAUGCAACAGAAGAAGAGUGACCACAAUCUUCAAAUGAUAAAUCACUUCAAAAAUGAAAAUUCCUAUUUGAUUUGAUGAAGUUCAUACCCAUUCCUUCCAAGGAAGUGGAGCAGGAUAAACUUGUGUUUCAUUUUGUUCAUGUCUGGGGAUUCUGGCCCUGAAUUAUCUUGAAAGACAUAUUCAGAAAUGAAAUCAUAGUCAUGAGGGUCAAUGGGGUUUUAGAUCCACCACAAAGAAGCUGGGAAACCCCAGUCUGAUCACAUGCAACACAAAUCUAUUUCAGAUUUCUUAUCCACAGAGAGAUGAUCAAGGAAGUUCGCUUAAGAGGUGAUGGACAGAGCUUCCAGCCUUCCAUGUUUCCAUGCCUGGGAUAGUCCUAAGAACUCUUCCUAGGUGAGGGGGAGGAAAACCACAGUGCUUUCUUAAACUCUCCAUUUUGACUGUAAGCUAAAAGGCACUGAAAGAUUCUUACAUUUCUUGUAAGAAUGUAGAGGAUGCUUGUAACUAAAACAAUUAUCCAGUUAAUUGCCUAAACUGUAACUGUACUCUGUCUUUUUUUUUUUUUUUUUUUUUUUUUGAGACGGUGUUUCACUCUUGUUGCCCAGGCUGCAAUGCAAUGGUGUGAUCUCGGCUCAAUGCAACCUCUGCCUCGCAGGUUCAAGUGAUUCUUCUGCCUCAGCCUCCUGCACAGCUGGGAUUACAGGCGUGCACCACCACACCCAGUUAAUUUUUUUGUAUUUUUAGUAGAGACGGGCUAAACUCCCAACCUCAGGUGAUCUGCUCGCCUCAGCCUUCCAAAGUGCUGGGCUCACAGGCUGGGUAUGGUGGUGUGCACCUGUAGUCCCAGCUACUCGGAAGGCUGAGGCAGGAGAAUCACUUGAACCCAGGAGGUGGAGGUUGCAGUGAGCCGAGAUGGUGCCACUGCACUUCAGCCUGGAAGACAAAGUGAGACACUGAGUCAAAAAUAAAUAAAUAAAUAAAAUAUACCAUUUGGAUACA